ACACGGUAAUACCGUAUCUCCGAUGUUACCCUAAUCUCCUCUACAAACAACAGCCGUCAUCAAACCACUAAUCACUGCCACCACAUGGCCACAACCUUCUAAAGACGUCGCCUCCAUUUCUUCUCUGGGUUUAGGACUUUCAAGAUUUCUGUACAAUCUCCCUAAAUUCUGUUAAUCUAUUCUUCUAUUGUAACUCUUUUGCAGGUGUUCUGGAAGUUACCGGGUAUAACGAGCGUUGACACGUCGCCGAUGGAGAUGCGGGAAGACGAAGCCGACGACGAUCGAAGUCUGCAACCUACCUGCGUGGAAAUUGAACCAGUACUCGAACACAUCGUUGGUUCAAAUCGAAGGAGUGAACACGAAAGAGGAGGUAUCAUGGUAUCAAGGGAAACGUAUGACGUACGUCUACAAAGCCAAGGUCAAGAAGAACGGAUCACACUAGCGGUGCAUUUGGGGGAAAGUUACCAGCCCUCAUGUGAACACCCGUAUUGUUCUUGCUACGAUCACUUCCAAUCUCCUUCCUAAAUCCAUGGGUCAAGGGUCAGAGUGUUCAUGUACCCAAGCAACAUUUAAGUUGGAGCAAGAAGGAAGAAAAGUCUGGUUUUCAAGUGGUUUUUGUCAACAUAUUGCCUGAACUUCAACUAUUAUGACAAUAAUCAUUAAAAUAAUACUUAUGUGGCGAGAUAGAUAUAAUGGUGAAAGUAGGUGAUGUGUGUUGAGAGAUUGAGAUGCAUUUUUUCUUUUUUUUCAAAACCUGGUAAUCAAGAAAAGUUUUUUUUUUUUUUUUUAAAGUUUGUCUAAAAAGUAUAAUGGAUUAAUUACUAAGUGGCUAAAUCGAUAAAAUGGUGAGGGUAACUUUCUGUAUUUUUCCCUUUUAUAUUUUAUUCGGUCAAACUUGUAUUAUUAGUCUUUCUUCACUCACACUCAUAAAUAAGCAGAGGAUUAUUUUACCCUAAUUGUUCUAUAGGAAUUCAAUCCAGACCCGGUGAUAUCAAUUUAUACAGCCAAGCUUGAGCAUGUUGAGAAAGCACUAAGGCAUGUUUAUCAUGUCUCGGUGAACAGGCUAAAAGGAAAUGAAUUGGAGCUUCUAUUAGUCAUCUUACCUGAUAAUAAUGGAUCCUGAUACGAUAUGUUUAGAGGUUUAAGAGGUUUAAAUGGAUCCCAAUGAUUGCAGUUUCAUUACUCCAGGUGUUUAUCUACCAGAAUCGAUAUUCUCACAUGGCCAACUUUAUGUGGCGUUGUCCAAAGGAAUAUCACGUGUCAAUAUCAAUGUAUUAGUAAAGCCGGAAAAAAACGUUUGAUAAUGAUGGAAUCUACACAUCAAACGUUGUGUACAAAGAAGUUUUAUGUGACUAACAAGGGCUAAUAGAUGAAACAACAUGAUUGCAGAUUGAUGUAUUUUAUAUAUUGGACAUGUUAUAAAUAUACAAAACUACAUGAUUGCAGAUUGCUGUUACUUAUAUAUUGUAAAAUCAAGUAUGAACUAUUAGAUGAAAUUCCAAAUGUAGACUCAACUAUUGUCGUA